GAUGAACGCUUGCGGCGUGCCUAACACAUGCAAGUCGAGCGAGAAUCGGUGAAAUGAAACUUCGGUAGAUUGGAUCCGAGGACAGCGGCGGACGGGUGAGUAACGCGUGGGCAACCUGCCCCUUACUGGUGGAUAGCCGCGGGAAACUGCGAGUAAUACACCAUAAUGCAUCGAUGAGACAUCUCAAUGAUGCCAAAGAUUUAUCGGUAAGGGAUGGGCCCGCGUCAGAUUAGCCAGUUGGCGGGGUAACGGCCCACCAAAGCGACGAUCUGUAGCCGGCCUGGAGAGGGCGGACGGCCACAUUGGGACUGAGACACGGCCCAAACUCC
rnacentral:rRNA from 1 species